GUCACUGUGGAAUAAUGGUUUGAGUGUUGGACUAGGACUCCAGGCAACCAGGGUUUGAAUCCCUGCUUGGCCA